ensembl:miRNA MIR302A microRNA 302a
CCACCACUUAAACGUGGGUGUACUUGCUUUGAAACUAAACAAGUAAGUGCUUCCAUGUUUUGGUGAUGG